UACGGAGGGUGCAAACGUUGCUCGGAAUCAUUGGGCGUAAAGCGCACGUAGGCGGCUCGUUAAGUCGGAUGUGAAAAGCCCCGGGCUCAACCCGGGAAGUGCAUUCGAAACUGGCGAGCUUGAAUAUGGAAGAGGGUCGCGGAAUUCCCAGUGUAGAGGUGGAAUUCGUAGAUAUUAGGAAGAACACCAGUGGCGAAGGCGGCUCACUGGUCCGGUACUGACGCUGAGGUGCGAAAGCGUGGGGAGCGAACGGG
rnacentral:rRNA from 1 species